ncrna:unclassified sequences DTF3800-X RNA
GAGCGAGUAAGUCCCUCUCGAAAGGAUGAUGCUGCUCAUGAGCAGGUGGGACGAUUAGAGAGGGGUUCACCA